rnacentral:misc_RNA from 1 species
GAAAUGCGAUAAGUAGUGUGAAUUGCAGAAUUUAGCGAAUCAUCGAAUCUUUGAACGCACAUUGCGCCCCUUGGUAUUCCAUGGGGCAUGCCUGUUCGAGCGUCAUUUCAACCCUCAAGCACUGCUUGGUGUUGGGCGUUUGUCCCGCCUACGCGCGUGGACUCGCCUCAAAGUCAUUGGCAGCUGUUCCCCUUCGGCUCGUAAGCGCAGCACAGUCGGCGCCCGGAGCUCUGGUGGGAUGGCGUCCAGCAAGCUAUAUUUCAGGCUUGACCUCGGAUCAGGUAGGGAUACCCGCUGAACUUAAGC